CUGCUCACUGCGCAACAAAACAGCAAGCCGGCAGCGCGCAGAGCCGUCGAGGCUGCUGCACAUUUUGUCGAGCACACAGCGAGCGUCAACGGCGCACUGCGCAGCAGCAGAGAGGAGGCAUCGGCAGAGGGCUCGCGGCCAUGGGCAACUGCGAGCUCGCUGCAAUCCAUGGACAGGGAGCCAACCGCGCUACGUGGAAGAGGAACAGGGAGGGCGUGGCUGGAGGAAAGGGGCGAGCUGCUUGUGGCCAUGGGGGAGAAGAAAGGGCGCCGUCGAGGGAGCUUCAACAGUGGAGCGCUCGGCUGCUGGGCUGCUCACCGUGGACAGCAGAGAAAGGCAGGCGCAGUGGAGAAAGGGUGCUCAAAACUGCUGGCCGGAGCUAGGGCUCGGCCAUGGGAAAGAAGGGGGAAGGAGGAAGGGGAGCCGGCUGGUGGAGAUGGGAGAGCUCGGCUCCAUGCAGAUAUGGAGCUUGCCAUUUGGAGCAGUGGCAGGGGGCGUCCUUGGCUGCUGGGCGAGCUCGGCAUGGAGAAGCUGCUUGCUGCCGUGAUGCGGGAGGAAGAAGGGGCGCCCUGCUCUUGCACGUUGGGAAGAAGGGGAGGACGCCAUGGGAGGAGAGGGAGCUCCCUGCUGCAGCCGCUCGCAGGAGGAGCCGAGAGGGCGCCGGGCCAUGGCUGGCCGAGGGGAGGAGCUCCUGCCGUCAACCAUGCACACGCAGAGAAAGCAGCGGCCAAGGGGAGAGCAGGGGGGCGCUAG
rnacentral:misc_RNA from 1 species